UAAAAAUAACACGUGAUCUGACAUAUCUCCCUCUCCAUUUUCAAACCAAUAGGUCUCUUCUAAGACAGAGGCUCCGCCGUGCCAACGGCAGCGGAGCAGUCCCUAACACAGAAUUCCAAACACUAAAACACUCCUCUCCGUCUCCUCUUUCUAAAUCCCCCUUUAUUUUCAUGAAUUUCUAACCAUGACCUCGAAUCUUAAGAAAAGGUUCAAUAACCCUAGAACAGAAAAAAGAAAUUAAAUAGCCAUCGAUGCUCGAUCCGAUCCUACACCAUAGGGCUAAUGUUGCUCUGAAUGAAUACUACGACAUGGUAUCGAUUUUACGACAAAAAUGAGCGAUAAAAUUACCUCCGAAGUAGAGUUUUGCUUCGGCGAUAUAAUGGAUUGGAGAAGACGAAUCAAGAAGGCUUCGAAUCAGAUUGUUUAUGUAUGCUUGUAAUUCACUUGGAUGGAUAGAGCAAUUUUGGGAUGGCUUGGAAAGUUAGGAAGCCUAGUUAUUAUUUGGUUUGCUGGAGCUGAAAGUGUAAGUCAAUGAGUUGGAAUAGUUAGCAUGUGCUGUUAAAAAAGGUUAGUUGAAACUAGUUAAUACAGAUGUUAGUUAUAGUUGCUAUCACUUGUUAAGUUAGUUAGUUAUGCAGCUAGUUGGUUAGCUAAGUGAAUUCCAAAGGAAGAAUGGUACAACACUCUUAGUUGUUAGAGAAGAAAAUAAAGGUUAGUUAACUAAUGAAUGUUGUAUGGCUGUUAUUGAUUGUUAGAUGUGUUGUGAAUUGAAUUGGAAAUGAGUGAUCAUGUUAUGAGAAGAAGAAAAAAAUAUGAAUUAGUCAUGCAUAAACCAUUAGCAGUUAAAUUGUUAUGAUAACUUAUAACUUGUUGUUAAUGAUUUUAGCCAUUGGCUUUGAAUUAUCAUGCUAUUUUUGAAAAAGCUACUUGAAUUUGAAAUGACAUGGCCAUGGUUUUGUGAAAUGCUAAUUGUUAGAGAUUUUGCGGGUUGUUAUGGUAAUGGAAUGUCAAAUGGUGAUUGGUUAUCAAAUUGUUAGAAGCAAGUUAGAAUGAUUGUGAACUGAAAUGGGAUAGUUCAUGCUAAAUUGGGUUUGUGUAUGAUUUGUUUCUUGGUUUUUGGAAUAUUUUGUGUUAUGUAUGUACAUGGAUGCUGAUGAUGUCUUACUGAUUUGAAAUAUGGUUUUGUUUGCUACAGGUGUGGACACAGGAGGGCUUGGUAUGCAAGGUUUGAAAUAAAGAUAUGCAACACACCAAAAAUCAUGAAAAAGCAAGGUUUGACGACCAAGAUGAGUUGGCUUGUGGGAGAAGGAAUUCAAGGACUUAGGGUUAGGGGUAGAAAGUUGAUUUUAGUCAACUGGUCGACCAAAAAGUCAACAGUCGACCAAAGUCAAUUGUGGGUCAAAAGUGUACUUUUUGUGUGUAAAGUUUAUAAUUUGGAUUUUAGAAUGUUGUAAUGAACGAUUUGAUGAAAAAUGAUCUUCUUUGAAUGAA